GAUGAACGCUGGCGGCGUGCUUAACACAUGCAAGUCGAACGGGAAACCUUUUAUUGAAGCUUCGGCAGAUUUAGCUGGUUUCUAGUGGCGGACGGGUGAGUAACGCGUGGGUAACCUGCCUUAUACAGGGGGAUAACAGUCAGAAAUGGCUGCUAAUACCGCAUAAGCGCACAGAGCUGCAUGGCUCAGUGUGAAAAACUCCGGUGGUAUAAGAUGGACCCGCGUUGGAUUAGCUGGUUGGUGGGGUAACGGCCCACCAAGGCGACGAUCCAUAGCCGGCCUGAGAGGGUGAACGGCCACAUUGGGACUGAGACACGGCCCAGACUCCUACGGGAGGCAGCAGUGGGGAAUAUUGCACAAUGGGGGAAACCCUGAUGCAGCGACGCCGCGUGAAGGAAGAAGUAUCUCGGUAUGUAAACUUCUAUCAGCAGGGAAGAUAAUGACGGUACCUGACGAAGAAGCCCCGGCUAACUACGUG
rnacentral:rRNA from 1 species